rnacentral:rRNA from 1 species
GUGCCUAAUACAUGCAAGUCGAGCGAACAGACGAGGAGCUUGCUCCUCUGACGUUAGCGGCGGACGGGUGAGUAACACGUGGAUAACCUACCUAUAAGACUGGGAUAACUUCGGGAAACCGGAGCUAAUACCGGAUAAUAUAUUGAACCGCAUGGUUCAAUAGUGAAAGACGGUUUUGCUGUCACUUAUAGAUGGAUCCGCGCCGCAUUAGCUAGUUGGUAAGGUAACGGCUUACCAAGGCAACGAUGCGUAGCCGACCUGAGAGGGUGAUCGGCCACACUGGAACUGAGACACGGUCCAGACUCCUACGGGAGGCAGCAGUAGGGAAUCUUCCGCAAUGGGCGAAAGCCUGACGGAGCAACGCCGCGUGAGUGAUGAAGGUCUUCGGAUCGUAAAACUCUGUUAUUAGGGAAGAACAAAUGUGUAAGUAACUAUGCACGUCUUGACGGUACCUAAUCAGAAAGCCACGGCUAACUACGUGCCAGCAGCCGCGGUAAUACGUAGGUGGCAAGCGUUAUCCGGAAUUAUUGGGCGUAAAGCGCGCGUAGGCGGUUUUUUAAGUCUGAUGUGAAAGCCCACGGCUCAACCGUGGAGGGUCAUUGGAAACUGGAAAACUUGAGUGCAGAAGAGGAAAGUGGAAUUCCAUGUGUAGCGGUGAAAUGCGCAGAGAUAUGGAGGAACACCAGUGGCGAAGGCGACUUUCUGGUCUGUAA